rnacentral:tRNA from 1 species
UAGCUCAGUCGGUUAGAGCAUGGUGCUUAUAAGACCAAGGCCGCGGGUUUGAUCCCCGC